AUUAGACGAAUCAUCUGGAAAGAUGAAUCAAAGAAGGUAAUAAUCCUGUAGUCGAAAAUGUUGUCUCUCUUGAGUGGAUCCUGAGUACGACGGAGCACGUGAAAUUCCGUCGGAAUCUGGGAGGACCAUCUCCUAAGGCUAAAUACUCUCUAGUGACCGAUAGUGAACCAGUACCGUGAGGGAAAGGUGAAAAGCACCCCGGAAGGGGAGUGAAAUAGAACCUGAAACCGUGUGCUUACAAGUAGUCAGAGCCCGUUAAUGGGUGAUGGCGUGCCUUUUGUAGAAUGAACCGGCGAGUUACGAUUUGAUGCAAGGUUAAGCAGUAAAUGUGGAGCCGUAGCGAAAGCGAGUCUGAAUAGGGCGUUUAGUAUUUGGUCGUAGACCCGAAACCAGGUGAUCUACCCUUGGUCAGGUUGAAGUUCAGGUAACACUGAAUGGAGGACCGAACCGACUUACGUUGAAAAGUGAGCGGAUGAACUGAGGGUAGCGGAGAAAUUCCAAUCGAACCUGGAGAUAGCUGGUU
rnacentral:rRNA from 1 species